ensembl:lncRNA
CUUGAUGAUACCGGUGUUGACUGAGACUUUUUCAACCGGAAACAAUGGAAAGAAAAAUGUAAUACCAUAUAUUGCUGAAUAUUUUAAAAAGUAGAAGAGGUAGGAGGAGUCUCUCUAUAAUGAGCUGAAUAGAUUAAGUGCCAAAAACAGAAGAAAUAGAAUAAGACAAAGAAAGAUUUUAUGAACAAUAGUGAGCAGCUGAGUAAUACAUUGUUUGGUAAUUGUUCAUAGUAUUUUAAUAACGUGAUUGGAACAAGUACGAAUGUUGACGACUCCUAUCAUGUAGAAAUUGCAGCUUUCUCUCUACUUGGUAUUAUUACCUGGCCUCUGUGUUCAAUGAAAGGAGCACCCCCCCUCCAUCUGUGAGGAAACCAAAACCUGUGUGACAAACCAGACGGUGGUGGUUCGUCCCACCAGUCUCCAUGUCUCAAGAUCCGAAACCUUAUACUGUCAAAUCAUAACAGAAGUUUUCUCAAAACACUUUUAAUACAGAGCACGAGGCACCGUGUGGCUGUUAGUACGCAGUUUUCCAGAAACAAAAAGGGACUUUAAUAGUCAAAAAAUCCAAACUCAAAUUUCCAGAAAGGCAAAACGUAGUUGAGGAACAGGAGACAGGAACUAUGACGUGGACAUGGGCUUCCGCACAAUUAACAAUGACGUGACACACAUGGCGUUAAUACCACGGAGGGGUAGGUGAUUGGAAAUUGCUGGAAACAAUCAUGACGCGACAGACAAUCACUGGCGACAGGACGAGGCAGGAAGUGACGUGACCUAGGGAGACAAGAGGCAAGAAACUACAAAAUAAAACCGGACAUGAACCCAAACCGUGACAGAACUCCCCCCUCAAGGGCCAAAUUCCAGAUGGCCCUAACCUGGCAAGGAACAGACAAGGGGCGGGAGGGACACCAGAGAACCCUGGCGGGCGGCCCGGCGGGCGGUCAGACUGCCGGGGGGGGCUCCGGGGGUCGGCCCGGAGGACGGUCAGGAGUCUGGCUCCCGGGCGCCGACUGCAGGACACUGGAACGGGAAGCCGUCGUUGCCGGCUGCGCGGCGAGGGAAGCCGGAGUCGUUGCCGACUGCGCGGCACAUAAAGCCUCCGGAGUCGCCGGCUGCAGGACACGGAGGCUGGGCACUGGGACGCCGGUCCAACCCCUGCCAUGGGGGGGAGGGGACCACGGGACAGGUGGGAGGGGGCUUUAGUGGAGGGGCCGGAACGGGAGUCGUGGGAUUGAAUCUGGGAGCCGGUACAGGAGUCGUGGGAUUGAAUCGGGGGUCCGUACCAGAGUCGUGGGCCUGGAUCGGGGCGUCGGCUGGGGGGGGUCAUGGGCUUGGGUCGGGAGGCCGUGUUGGGAAGCUGCUGCGGCCCAGCGCUGGACGUCGUGCGCUGAGGCCGAGCGUGGAGAGCGUAGGUGGCCUAGAGCCGGACCGCGAGGUCCAUCACCCGCUCCCAGUGCGAUCCGCCGCCGGACGACCACGAGAUGGCCUCCUCUUCUGGUCGCGUCAUUCUGUCUGGACGGUACGUUGGGGAAGGUAGGACUCAGACGCAGAGUUUUCCAGACUUUAAUAGUCAAAAAUUCCAAAACUCAAAAAUUCCAAGAAGGUAAAACGUAGUCGAGAAACCACAACAACUGUGACAUGGACAUGAGCUAACGAACAACUAACAAUGACGCGACCAGUGACAACAAACACACAUGACCUAGAUACACUUGGGAGGUGCAGGUGAUUGGAAACAGCUGGAAACAAUCAUGACACGACAGUCAAUCACGGGGGACAGCCAGGACAAGGCAGGAAGUGACGUUACCCAGGGAGACAAGAAACUACAAAAUAAAACUGCACAUGAACUCAAACCGUGACAAUUCAUUGACAGAAUAAAAGGGAAAUAAAAGUUUUAUUCCUUCACGUCUUUCUCCUCGUCCUCUACGUGGACCAUCUGCUUCUGUGCUUUCAGCAGCGUCACUCCUGGAGAGGGAAACGCAGCUGGUCACCUUCAAACCAAGAAGCAGGUCAGACUGUACGUGCUGUUUGUUUGGAGAGCUGAUAUCUGACUACAGCAUAAAAACCUACAAACCACUACUUCCUACAUCAGCAGCUUUAUUUUCUUAGUUCUGGCUACAAGGUGAAGAGCCACCGUGUUUAAGGUCAACAGGUCAACCACGAGCAAAUCAUCCACCGAGAUCAAAAAGGAAACUGAUUACCCAAAGUGCAUGAAAACAUUCCUCAACUGUAACUUACAAGUGUUUGUCCGAGUGCUUUAAAAGCUCUCAAACCACAAGCCUCUUCUUCCACGAGUGGAGGGUUUCAGACGCCAUCUUUGAUGCACAUCCUUUGCAUGAACAUUUAUACAUUGGACUUCAAGGCCAUCGUUUCAGAACACCUCCAUGAAGUGUGUGUGUGUGCUGACCUGGUAUAUGUGGAGGACAGUGGAGGAUGGGCGUGUCUUUCCUGCGAGGUUUCUUCUGGUCCGCCUGCUUCUCUUUGCACUCCUUGUCCCCUUUAUCGUCCUGCAUCUCAGACUUCCUGUCCAUCAGGCCCGCCUCAUCUGUCACACAGCCACACAGUUACAUUUCCACCUACCACACGCGUCUCCAUCAAAGACAAAAACACACCAUGAACAUUGCACUUGCAUUUGGUUGAAACCGUUUGGAGCAGCUGAUGCUGUUUGAUUUCCUACUCUGACUUUUGAACCUUUUCUGAUCUUUAACAUGUAUGUGCUCCUGUGCAGGGUUCAGGUUUUUACACAAUAAAUACACACUUGUCUAAUAAUUGUGUUCAUAGCUCAUUUACACAGACUCCAAACAGCAUUCAAAUCUGUGGAGAGAGAAAAGGACCCGACUACAAGGACAGCCGGAGCAGUUCUGUGAGAACGGGGCCCGACCAGUAAAUAUGACGACCGCCAUC